AAAAAAUGCAUCAGAACAGUACAUGUAAAUAUCAGCUGCAUUCUUAAAUGCAACAGCCAAAAAUAUAGUAGGGUAACACAAAACCAGAGAAACGAGCAGCAUCGUGCACAAAUGGCUCCGGGUACAACUGCAUACACGACAUAUAUAGCAGGUUCUAUCAUUAGCGAUCUUGACGAGCACAUAGUUCCAUCACGACACCUUGUACAAUGAAAAACGCUACUAGAUUCUCUCAUCACAUUCAGCAGGACCAGUCCACACGCAAAAUUAUGACGAUGAUAAACCACUACAUGCAUAAACACGCAAGGAAGUCCGCUAAGAUAUUAUCAAUAUAGACGGCAAGGGAACAGACUUAGAACA